GACGAACGCUGGCGGCGUGCUUAACACAUGCAAGUCGAACGGAAAGGCCCUGCUUUUGUGGGGUGCUCGAGUGGCGAACGGGUGAGUAAAACGUGAGUAACCUGCCCUUGACUUUGGGAUAACUUCAGGAAACUGGGGCUAAUACCGGAUAGGAGCUCCUGCUGCAUGGUGGGGGUUGGAAAGUUUCGGCUGUGGGGGAUGGACUCGCGGCUUAUCAGCUUGUUGGUGGGGUAGUGGAUUACCAAGGCUUUGACGGGUAGCCGGCCUGAGAGGGUGACCGGCCACCUUGGGACUGAGAGACGGCCCAGACUCCUACGGGCGGCAGCAGUGGGGAGUAUUGCACAAUGGGCGGAAGCCUGAUGCGGCAACGCCGCGUGCGGGAUGACGGCCUUCGGGUUGUAAACCGCUUUCGCCUGUGCCGAAGCGUGAGUGACGGUAAUGGGUAAAGAAGCACCGGCUAACUACGUG
rnacentral:rRNA from 1 species